GAUUAACGCUGGCGGCGUGCAUAACACAUGCAAGUCGAACGAUGAAACUUAAAUGAUUUCUUCGGAAUGAACUUAAGUGGAUUAGUGGCGGACGGGUGAGUAACGCGUGAGUAACCUGCCUUACACAAGGGGAUAGCCGUUGGAAACGACGAAUAAUACCCUAUGAAACUAUCACUUCGCAUGAAGCGAUAGUCAAAGUGUUAGCGGUGUAAGAUGGACUUGCGUCUGAUUAGCUAGUUGGUGAGAAAAAAGCCCACCAAGGCAACGAUCAGUAGCCGGCUUGAGAGAGUGUACGGCCACAUUGGGACUGAGGCACGGCCCAGACUCCUACGGGAGGCAGCAGUGGGGAAUUUUGCACAAUGGGGGAAACCCUGAUGCAGCGACGCCGCGUGAUUUAGAAGGCCUUCGGGCUGUAAAAAUCUUUUGUAUAGGAAGAAAAUGACAGUACUAUACGAAUAAGGUCCGGCUAAUUACGUG
rnacentral:rRNA from 1 species